GUCUCCUCUCUGACCAUCUGGAGGGCCACCCAUUCCUGAGGAACUGUUCCCCGAACAAGCAAGUAUGCAAGGGCAGAGGAUGAAUCAGACCCAGCAGGUCCCACUGAGGGCCCCCGUUGAAGAUCAGAGGGGUCUGGCAGGGCCUGUGGGACAUCCCGCCAUGCCUCGCUUCCUCCCCACACUGCUGCAGACAGGCUCUGCCCAGGACCUUUGUGAUGGGCAGGUCAACCUGACCAGAGGUGUGGAAACUUCUGGAUGCCUGCUCUUGUGAGUUCACCUCUAUGUCUACUCUACUGAGGCCUCUCCAUACAGGUAGAGUGACUUGUGGGAGGCCUGUUACAUCCUCAGGCCACACCUGGUAAGGGAAGCGCAGGUGGGUCCCACCUGCCCUGGUGCCCCCCUCAGGAUACCUGGGGGUAUAUACUUUUUCUCAUGCCACCCCCAGGCUCUGCCCAGAUGGGGCUGACGACUGGUUUUUGGGCUGGCAUCCGUGUUUCCGGGCGCUGCUUGCCCGUUCUCUCCCACCUGCCGGUUGAACCUUAAUCUCCUUUUGGAGGAAGAAGAGGGGGAAAAAACAGAAGUUGGUCACUCUCAGUAGCCUCUGCCCCAGGGGGACCAGGCCAGACAAGUCCUUGGUAGUCUUGGUUGGGACCUGGAUCUGUAUUCUUGGAGCAGAUGAUCUGAUUUGCAUUUGGCCACAGAUCCAAGAAGGUAUUAACAUAAAGAGCGACUGCCAGCCAUGACCCCAGCAUUCCUCCCAGGAGGAAGGAGUCAUCAAGUCCACUUUGUAGCUUGAUGGCCUAACAGAACCCACUGGGGUGGUCAGAGUUCCAUCCACAACAUUCUGGAAUGUGGCCUUGGGAACCAGUCAGCUUCUCCCCCUCCUCACACUCCUGUGGCCUCUGUUGCUCCAGCUCUGGUGUCUCUGAGGGGGACCUGGGAGGACUCUCAGCUUUCAACAGAUCAGGCAGGUCUCAGUUUCCUGCCUUCCUGGGAAGUGGGGAAAGGCUGAGAGGCCCCGUGCUGGGGGUGAAGCUAAUUCAUUAGUUACGCCUCAACAAGGACCGGGUGCCUGCAGUGCCAGCGUGAUUCAUCAUGAUGAUUGCCCCACUGCCAGCCUGCGUGGGCCUGGAACGCCAGCACAUUUUACCUUUACCCACUGAGAAGGGCCUGGUGGGAGGUGAAGGUACAGGAUCUGCCGAGAGCAAGAAAAAGACUCUGAGAAAGAAGAGGGCUGGUCCUCCAUGCUCUCGGCCCCAGGAAGCUCUGCCAGGCUGGUGCCGGGGUGGAGAGGCUCAUGUGGGCUCAUGUGGUGCUGCCUGUGCUGAUGGAGCCCAAGAGGGCAGCCUGGCGCUGGGUGCCAGCCUGAGCAUGUGGCGAGGCUGGGCUGCUGAGCCUCCUCCUCCACAGCCAAUGUUCCCUCAAACUGCUUGGGGGUGGGGGGAGGGACUCAUCCUCAUCCCAUUAGCCUGGCUGGGUAUUCCCUACCUUUCUGGUCUCUGAGAGACUUACCUCUUCCAAGAAGUCCUCCCGAAUGAGUAGAAGGGAGAGAGCUGGAUUGGAACUUAAGUGACAUCUGGGAGGAGCCUGAAGCCCCUCCGGUUGGGGCUGAGACUCCUAUACCCUAGGUCUGGUGUCUGGGUUCCACCUGGGUCCUCUACCUUGGCCUGGAUUCCUGCUUUCGUUUUGCCAGUCUCUCCCAGGAUGGGGGUGCAUGGCUGGUUCGUGGCUCAGAGCAACAUCUGCCUCUGUGUCCCCCCAUCAUCUGUCCGCCCCCUAACACCUCUUGCCAUAUUAGAAUUGCUAUUGCUCUGUCCUUUCAUUCAUGUAUCCAACAAAUAUAUAUUAUCUGAAAAAAAGCAUGUGCUGAAUAAUUUCAUUUGUGUGAAAUUCAAGAACAGGGAAAACUGAUCCAUAAGGAUAGAGGUCAGGAUCAUAGUUGCCUCUGUGAGGUGGGGAUUGACCGCAAGAGGCUUGAGAGAACUCUUGGGUUGAUGGAAAUGGGACAGGGGUGUGUACAUUUGUCAAAACGCAUCCAAGAAGACACUUACGAUCUAUGCAUUUCACU
rnacentral:lncRNA from 1 species